CUGUGGUCCUGUGCUGGACUCACUGUAGCAGUGCUGUGGAGCCCAGAGCUGAGCCCAGAACUCCAGCUGUGUCUCACCAGUGCUGAGCAGAGGGGAAGGAUCACCUUCCCUGACCCGCUGGCAACGCUCUGCCUAAUGCUCCCAGGAGGCUGUUGGCUGCCUUUGCUGUAAGGACACAUUGCUGGCUGAUGUUUAACUUGGUGUUACAGGAUCUCCUGAGUCUUUUCCUGCAAGAGUUUUGUGUCACUUGUAAACAAGCUGAGGGUGCACUUUGUCCUGUUGUCCAGGUCAUUGGCCCCAGUAUCAAUCCCUGCUAUAUGCUAUUAGCCACUAAUCUUGUUAUAAAAGGCUAUCCGUUUGGGUAAGCAAAACAUUCCCUUCAUAAAUCCAUGCUGACUACACCAAAUCGUCUUCUUACUCUUCACGUGUCGGUCUGCAGAGAGCUGCUAGCAGCCAGAAACUAAAGGCUAGAAAUAAGGGCUUCAUUAACCUCAUCUCAACUUUCAGAUAGGUAAGGACUGUGAACAACAUCCGAUGAUUCUCAGCCACACUGAGAAUAACAUCUACAAUCUGACCAUCUGAUUGUGCUGUUUCAGAUGUGCACGGAGCUUCGUUCUGCCCCUUUGGUGGGUGAGAUUCAGGUAAAUACUAACUCCGGUUCAUACCCCACUUCCCCCUUAAGUGAAAGACACCCACUCACAGUGGUCUGAAGGAAGCAAAAGCACUCUCCAAUCUGGUUCCUGAUGUUGGCAAUGGGUGCAGAGGAAAUCAGGUUGUGCUGUGGCACCUGGAUGCUGUUCAGCUUCAGUAAAGCCAAAUCAAAUAUGGACUUCUUUUUCUCAAAUAUGAAACACUUACCAGAGGGAAUCCUUAAUUCCAGUUUCAUCAUGCACUGCAGUUGCAUAUGGAUGAAAUGCUGCCCUUAAGUGCAAAUACGUGAACCUAUAUCCUCAGGUCAUCCACACAUCAGAGAAAGAGGUCCCCUGCAGUCAUGGAAUCUGGCUAUAAGACAUCCAGGAACUACUGGUGCAAUGAAGAGUACACUUACACACCUUAUACUUUGGAGUAGCAGGGAUUUGGGGAUUUCUUUACAACUAAUUCCUGAGAUGUGUUUGAAAAUUUAACAGGAUUGCGUAAAGUAGUGAACAUGCCCCUACACUAAGGGCUGGCCACCUGUGAGUCCACAGGACCUCUCAUUCACACUCUGGCACAAGCAAAAUUUGUGUACUACGGCAUCUAGAUAGCUUUGAGGAUCUUGAUAUCAAGGGAGGUUGUGUGACUUUGUCAUUUGGAACAUGAAAAAAGUUACCAAACUUA